rnacentral:rRNA from 1 species
UACGUAGGGUGCAGGCGUUAAUCGGAAUUACUGGGCGUAAAGCGUGCGCAGGCGGUUUGCUAAGACAGGUGUGAAAUCCCCGGGCUUAACCUGGGAACUGCGCUUGUAACUAGCAGGCUAGAGUGUGGCAGAGGGGGGUGGAAUUCCACGUGUAGCAGUGAAAUGCGUAGAGAUGUGGAGGAACACCGAUGGCGAAGGCAGCCCCCUGGGCUAACACUGACGCUCAGGCACGAAAGCGUGGGGAGCAAACAGG